AGGAAUAUUGGGCAAUGCCCGCAAGGGUGACCCAGCAACGCCGCGUGGAGGAUGAAUGUCGUAAGAUUGUAAACUCCUGUUAGAGGGGAAGAAUAGUACCGGUUGGACCGGUAUAUGACUGUACCCUCAGAGAAAGCCCCGGCUAACUACGUGCCAGCAGCCGCGAUAAUACGUAGGGGGCAAGCGUUGUCCGGAUUUACUGGGUGUAAAGGGCGCGCAGGCGGGAUAAAAAGUCAGUGGUGAAAUCCUACAGCUUAACUGUAGAACUGCCUUUGAUACUUUUAGUCUUGAGUUCGGGAGAGAGAGACGGAAUUCCAGGUGUAGUGGUGAAAUACGUAGAUAUCUGGAAGAACACCAGUUGCGAAGGCGGUCUCUUGGUCCGACACUGACGCUGAGGCGCGAAAGCGUGGGGAGCAAACA
rnacentral:rRNA from 1 species